rnacentral:rRNA from 1 species
UACGUAGGGGGCAAGCGUUGUCCGGAAUCAUUGGGCUUAAAGGGCGCGUAGGCGGCGGUGUAAGUUGGAAGUGAAAUCCCAUCGGCUCAACCGUGGAAUUGCUCCCAGUACUGCAUCGCUCGAGGGGGAUAGGGGUUUGCGGAACUACCGGUGGAGCGGUGAAAUGUGUUGAUAUCGGUGGGAACGCCAGUGGCGAAAGCGGCAAACUUGACCCUUCCUGACGCUGAGGCGCGAAAGCUAGGGGAGCAAACGGG